rnacentral:rRNA from 1 species
UUCCGGUUGAUCCUGUCAGAGGUUACUGCUAUCGAGAUUCGACUARGCCAUGCGAGUUAAAUGUUCUUCGUGAACAUGGCAGACUGCUCAGUAACACGUGGACAACCUGCCCUUUGGUCCGGCAUAAUCCUGGGAAACUGGGGGUAAUUCCGGAUAGGCCACAGAUGCUGGAAUGCACUGUGGCCCAAAGCUCCGGCGCCAAAGGAUGGGUCUGCGGCCUAUCAGGGUUGUAGUGGGUGUAACGUACCUACUAGCCUACGACGGGUACGGGUUGUGAGAGCAAGAGCCCGGAGAUGGAUCCUGAGACACGGAUCCAGGCCCUACGGGGUGCAGCAGGCGCGAAAACUUUACAAUGCGGGAAACCGUGAUAAGGGAAUCUCGAGUGCCAGCAUAUAAUGUUGGCUGUCCAGAUGCCUAAAAAGCAUCUGUUAGCAAGGGCCGGGCAAGACCGGUGCCAGCCGCCGCGGUAACACCGGCGGCCCGAGUGGUAACCACUUUUAUUGGGUCUAAAGGGUCUGUAGCCGGCCAUGUAAGUCCCUUGGGAAAUCUGGCAGCUCAACUGUCAGGCUGCUAGGGGAUACUGCAUGGCUUGGGACCGGGAGAGGUGAGAGGUACCUUGGGGGUAGGGGUGAAAUCUUGUGGUCCUCGGGGGACCACCAGUGGCGAAGGCGUCUCACCAGAACGGGUCCGACGGUAAGGGACGAAAGCUAGGGGCACGAACCGGAUUAGAUACCCGGGUAGUCCUAGCCGUAAACGAUGCUCGCUAGGUGUCAGUCACGGUGCGACCGUGAUUGGUGCCGUAGGGAAGCCGUGAAGCGAGCCACCUGGGAAGUACGGCCGCAAGGCUGAAACUUAAAGGAAUUGGCGGGGGAGCAC